rnacentral:rRNA from 1 species
GACGAACGCUGGCGGCGUGCUUAACACAUGCAAGUCGAACGGAAAGGCCCUGCUUUUGUGGGGUGCUCGAGUGGCGAACGGGUGAGUAACACGUGAGUAACCUGCCCUUGACUUUGGGAUAACUUCAGGAAACUGGGGCUAAUACCGGAUAGGAGCUCCUGCUGCAUGGUGGGGGUUGGAAAGUGUCGGCGGUUGGGGAUGGACUCGCGGCUUAUCAGCUUGUUGGUGGGGUAGUGGCUUACCAAGGCUUUGACGGGUAGCCGGCCUGAGAGGGUGACCGGCCACAUUGGGACUGAGAUACGGACCAGACUCCUACGGGAGGCAGCAGUGGGGAAUAUUGCACAAUGGGCGGAAGCCUGAUGCAGCAACGCCGCGUGCGGGAUGACGGCCUUCGGGUUGUAAACCGCUUUCGCCUGUGACGAAGCGUGAGUGACGGUAAUGGGUAAAGAAGCACCGGCUAACUACGUG